rnacentral:misc_RNA from 1 species
UGCUUCGAGGCAAUGUUCACUCACAAAUUAAUCACACUUUGCCUAUCCGGUGGAGCCACGCAUUGCCACAAGGAACGAUAUGCUGGAAUGUUGACUGCCUCGACACCCAGGACGGAGAGGUUGCGUCCAUACUCCUGGAUAUCAAGGAACAACUGCAUGCAUAUCUUGUCCGUAUCAGAGACACUGUUGUCUGAGACAUCUGAGCUUGCUCCACCUCGUCGUUGAGCACCCUGCCGUAUUCUCUGGAGUGAAGAUUCUGUUUUCCUAGCCACACUGACGAGUUCAGCAGCCAAUUCAUAAUAACUACCAGUAAUGUUGGUUGCAGCACCAAGCAGUAAUUCAUUCCUAGUUUCCUUGGUUAAAUAGGUCAUAGCUCGCUCUCCAUCCAGAAAACCCUUUAAAGGACGCAACACCCCUGACACGUAGGGUGAAUGUCUAACAGGAAGAGGUUUAUUAGUCAUCCUGUAAGUUGCAGUUAUUCCCUUCACCUGUCUCAAGUCCUCAACAGCCUUAUCAACUAGUGCCUCUAUGAUGGCGUUGAUGGCAAGAGGUGCUAAAUCAUUUAAUGACUUUCCACCUUGUAAGAUGCUUUGUUUUACUAGAUCAAGA